rnacentral:rRNA from 1 species
GAUGAACGCUGACAGAAUGCUUAACACAUGCAAGUCGAUUCGAUUUACCUUCGGGUAUUGAGGAUGGCGGACGGGUGAGUAACGCGUAAGGAACUUGCCUCUUGGUCUGGGACAACUGUUGGAAACGACAGCUAAUACCGGAUAUUAUGAGAUUCUCGCAUGGGAAACUUAUGAAAGCUAUAUGCGCCAAGAGAGAGCCUUGCGUUCCAUUAGCUAGUUGGUGGGGUAACGGCCCACCAAGGCGACGAUGGAUAGCCGGCCUGAGAGGGUGAACGGCCACAAGGGGACUGAGACACGGCCCUUACUCCUACGGGAGGCAGCAGUGGGGAAUAUUGGACAAUGGGCCACAAGCCUGAUCCAGCAAUUCUGUGUGCACGGUGAAGGUCUUCGGAUUGUAAAGUGCUUUCAGUUGGGAAGAAGAAAGUGACGGUACCAACAGAAGAAGCGACGGCUAAAUACGUGCCAGCAGCCGCGGUAAUACGUAUGUCGCAAGCGUUAUCCGGAUUUAUUGGGCGUAAAGCGCGUCUAGGCGGAAAAAUAAGUCUGAUGUUAAAAUGCGGGGCUCAACUCCGUAUUGCGUUGGAAACUGUUUUUCUAGAGUACUGGAGAGGUGGGCGGAACUACAAGUGUAGAGGUGAAAUUCGUAGAUAUUUGUAGGNAAUGCCGAUGGAGAAGUCAGCUCACUGGACAGAUACUGACGCUGAAGCGCGAAAGCNUGGGGAGCAAACAGGAUUAGA